CAGUAGCCGCGGGAAUACGAAGGGGGCUAGCGUUGCUCGGAAUCACUGGGCGUAAAGGGUGCGUAGGCGGGUCUUUAAGUCAGGGGUGAAAUCCUGGAGCUCAACUCCAGAACUGCCUUUGAUACUGAAGAUCUUGAGUUCGGGAGAGGUGAGUGGAACUGCGAGUGUAGAGGUGAAAUUCGUAGAUAUCCGCAAGAACACCAGUGGCGAAGGCGGCUCACUGGCCCGAUACUGACGCUGAGGCACGAAAGCGUGGGGAGCAAACAGGAUUAGAUACCCCGGUAGUCCCUGUCUCUUAUAU
rnacentral:rRNA from 1 species